UGCAGUCGAGCGGUAACAGAUCUAGCUUGCUAGAUGCUGACGAGCGGCGGACGGGUGAGUAACGCGUAGGAAACUGCCGAGUAGUGGGGGAUAGCCCAGAGAAAUUUGGAUUAAUACCGCAUACGCCCUACGGGGGAAAGGAGGGGAUCUUCGGACCUUUCGCUAUUCGAUGUGCCUGCGUGAGAUUAGCUUGUUGGUGAGGUAAAGGCUCACCAAGGCGACGAUCUCUAGCUGGUUUGAGAGGAUGAUCAGCCACACUGGGACUGAGACACGGCCCAGACUCCUACGGGAGGCAGCAGUGGGGAAUAUUGCACAAUGGGGGAAACCCUGAUGCAGCCAUGCCGCGUGUGUGAAGAAGGCCUUCGGGUUGUAAAGCACUUUCAGCAGUGAGGAAAGGUUGUAAGUUAAUACCUUGCAGCUAUGACGUUAACUGCAGAAGAAGGACCGGCUAACUCCGUGCCAGCAGCCGCGGUAAUACGGAGGGUCCGAGCGUUAAUCGGAAUUACUGGGCGUAAAGCGCGCGUAGGCGGCUAGGUCAGUCAGAUGUGAAAGCCCCGGGCUUAACCUGGGAAUUGCAUCUGAUACUGCUUGGCUAGAGUACAGAAGAGGGUGGUGGAAUUUCCUGUGUAGC
rnacentral:rRNA from 1 species